rnacentral:rRNA from 1 species
UACGGAGGGUGCGAGCGUUGUCCGGAAUCACUGGGCGUAAACGGCGCGUAGGCGGCUUGGGAAGUCCGUGGUGAAAGCUCGUGGCUCAACUGCGAGUCGGCCAUGGAUACUCCUAAGCUCGAGUCGACUAGAGGCAGAUGGAAUUCCGGGUGUAGCGGUGGAAUGCGUAGAGAUCCGGAAGAACACCGGUGGCGAAGGCGGUCUGCUGGGGUCGAACUGACGCUGAGGCGCGACAGCGUGGGGAGCAAACAGG